rnacentral:lncRNA from 1 species
CUCAAAAUGGGAACUCCAUUCUAGCCCUAUUGGUUGAUGGAGAACCAUCAAGUUGACUGUCUGAGUAUGACCAUUCACACAAGAUCUCCAAUCUGCUGCCGAGUGUCUUUGAGUCACAGUGCGAUUUACUGUGAAACUAUUUGGGCAACUUGGGGAGCUGAUGGGAGCCAGAACUUUUGCAUCUUAAAAACAUGCAUGCACAAAUUAAGGAUGCUUUUAUUUUUAACGGUCUCAGGGUUGUACUCCCUUGUCUGUUUCCUAGGCCUUACCACUCUCUGUGUGUGUUCUGGCAUGCUGGGAGGUCAUGUCUUCUAUAAACAUGUGAGGUGACCACUCUUGGCAUUCUGCAGUCUGGCGCAUUGACAAUCUGGUAGCUGGAUAUGGAUGAAGAACCUGUGGAGAGGGGACAGAAAAGGUAUGAGACAUGGUCCAGGAAUGGAGUCCUGUGAGAAGACUUCUGAGUGCUUAUUCUCUGUAGAAUGUCAAACCUCAGCUGCCUUCAUGGAGAAGACUCCUGUACUGUGCUCACAUCCAUGGUCCAGAGGCCCUUUGCCAGGCAGCUCAGCCCACACCAGGUUCAGCAUGGCGGGCAGAUCCUCUAAGACAGUGAUUCUCUAUUUGGGAGUCGCAUAUCAGGUAUCCUGCAUAUCAGAUAUUCACAUUACUAUUCAUAACAUUAGCAAAAUUAAAGUAAUGAAGUAGCAACAAAAUAAUUUUACAGUUGGGGGGUCACCACAACAUGAGGAAGUGUAUUCAAAAGUUGAAGCAUCAAGAAGGUUGAGAACCAUUGCUCUACGGACUAGC